rnacentral:tRNA from 1 species
GGAGGGGUGGCCGAGUGGCUGAAGGCGCACGCUUGGAAAGCGUGUUUACAGGAAACUGUAACGUGGGUUCGAAUCCCACUCCCUCCGCCA